AACUUCCUGCUGUGUCCGACAGCCCUGCUUAAAAUAAUCCAACACACUGUUUAACGGGAGUCUGACUUCCGUGCUAUGAUUGCAGACCUCCCCAUUUUGGGACGAAGGGAGCAUGAACCCACGGAGAGGACGUACCCACCUUGUCUUGGGACGGGGUUAGCAGCGAGCAGGACAUCGGCACCGCGGGAUUUUU
rnacentral:other from 1 species